rnacentral:tRNA from 1 species
GUGAACAUAGUUUAAUUAAAAACCUUAGGCUGUGACUCUAACAAUGAGAGAUUAAUUCUCUUCUGUUCACC